ensembl:lncRNA
ACCCAGGAAGACAACCAGGAGACCAAGUCAGACCUCCAGACCCAGGAAGACAACCAGGAGACCAAGUCAGACCUCCAGACCCAGGAAGACAACCAGGCAGACUGUGAAAUGGUACAUGGCAAUGAGGAUCUGUCUAGAAUUCAUCCUGAUAGUAAUUAUCACUGUGCAAAUGAAAACAAUGGUGAUGAUGAUGAAAACACACUAAAACCUUCAUCUUCAGAGCCCAGCACGACCCAUACAAACCCAGUCAAACUAGACCCUCCCUCAAACCAAACAGACAGAGACACAGCAGGAUCCUCUCCACCCAACCAGACAGAGACACUCCAGGGUCCACCUAAACUUAACCAGACAGAGACACUCCAGGAUCCACCUAAACCUAACCAGACAGAGACACCCCAGGAUCCACCUAAACUUAACCAGACAGAGACACUCCAGGGUCCACCUAAACUUAACCAGACAGAGACACCCCAGGCUCCACCUAAACCUAAGCGGACAGGGACAAACCGGCGUCCACCUAUACCACCCAAACCUAACCAGACAUAGAAACACCAGGUUUAACCAGACCAAAUGACACAAGAGUUCAUGUCAACCCAACAAAGCUCAAUCACACCAAUGCCCACAUUUGCCCAAAUAGGCUUACAGAGAGAGAAAGAAGUUAUGGGAAAAAGGUUGAAGAGAGAAAAUAUGGAAGAAAAAGGAAUAGGGUGAGAGACCUGCCAACCACAAACAGAGACACAUCAACCAAAUAUACGCUUCCAGACUGAGGAGAUGGACAAACGUGCACCUCAUGGGCUUUAGCCAGAUGAGAACUACAGCCUGCUCAGACGUAGCGCAACCAAUUGAUGGAUUUCACAAUUAAUGUUUGCAGUUUUCGAAUCAUAGAUAUGCCUUGUCUUUUAACUACCACCGGUACAUUGUCUACUUCUUUUUUUUUAAGUCUGCAUUCUAAUGCUGUUAACUGUGUUGCUUUUUUUAUUUCUUAUUCUUUGAGCACUGGCUGUGCUGAUAGCUAUUCCAUUGAUUACAAUUUUUAAAUGUAUUGGGUUGUGGUGUGCCAUCUUGUAAUAACUGUAUGUCACUCUGCAUAAGAACAUCUUCUGAACUGAUAAAAAUAUAAUUUUAAAUAUUUCCAACUACUGUGAAAUACUAGAUGACAAAAAUGUAUUUAAUGAAUUUCACAAUAAAAUAGUAUUUGUUUUAUAGUUCUGUUUGUGUGUAUUACACUGGUUGAGGUGACUUCUAAGACAAUGCUAGAGUGUUUGUAGUGUACCUAGACUGAAGACUGUAGUGGGAGGAUGGGUUGUUAACCACCUGUACUGCUCUGGUAAAAGAGUGAGGUGGACAAACACAUGACCACUUUAGCAUUUUUAUAUUAAUAUAUUUUA